rnacentral:rRNA from 1 species
UACGUAGGAGACGAGCGUUGUCCGGAGUUACUGGGCGUAAAGCGCACGCAGGCGGUCUGCUAAGUUUGGAGUGACAGUUGGUGGCUUAACUGCCAAAGUGCUUCGAAAACUGACAGACUUGAGGGCUUCAGAGGGACACGGAAUUCCGGGUGGAGUGGUGAAAUGCGUAGAGAUCCGGAGGAACACCAAAGGCGAAGGCAGUGUCCUGGGGAGUACCUGACGCUCAGGUGCGAAAGCCAGGGGAGCGAACGGG